UGGGGGAUAUUGCACAAUGGGCGAAAGCCUGAUGCAGCGACGCCGCGUGGGGGAUGAAGGCUUUCGGGUUGUAAACCUCUUUCGCUAUCGAACAAGGCCCGCUUAGGGUGGGUUGAGGGUAGGUGGAGAAGAAGCGCUGGCUAACUACGUGCCAGCAGCCGCGGUAAUACGUAGGGCGCGAGCGUUGUCCGGAAUUAUUGGGCGUAAAGGGCUUGUAGGCGGCUUGUUGCGCCUGCUGUGAAAACGCGGGGCUUAACUUCGCGCGUGCAGUGGGUACGGGCAGGCUUGAGUGUGGUAGGGGUGACUGGAAUUCCAGGUGUAGCGGUGGAAUGCGCAGAUAUCUGGAGGAACACCGAUGGCGAAGGCAGGUCACUGGGCCAUUACUGACGCUGAGGAGCGAAAGCAUGGGUAGCGAACAGG
rnacentral:rRNA from 1 species